AUUGGAAGCUGUAUUAAGCAAGGCCAGUGGGGCCCAGCAUUCCUCAGGCCUGGAAGAGCUGGAAUUGCCCAGCUUGCCCCAGGAUCAAAGAGACGAGGCAACCCCUUCAUCACCAGGUUUCCACAUCAGCACUGUUGAGGGCAGGAAGAUGUCAAGGGGGAAAGCUUUCUUUGAAGUGUCAAGAUAAGAAUCAUCUCCACCUCCCUUCAGUGUGAAAGUCAUUCCUCUAGGAGCCAGGGGAGGGUGUGAGGCAUUCGGCUGUCUGUACGAAAGCUGGGAGGAACUUAUCAACUGAGGCAGACACCUUCCUGACUCCAGACUGUGUCUGGACCCGGCCUACAAUCUCCAGCGAACGUCAGUCCUCACAAACAUAUGAAACGUGGAGCCGUGUUAACCACUUUUCCAAUGCCAUCCCACCUAGAACUGCACCUGCAUGGGCUUUACUGCUGAAUCGUUGACUACAGACAGCCUAGCACUCGGGGGGACCAGUGAGAGCUUGCACCUUGGGCUGGGUGAGCUGGGAGCUCAUUUCCAAAAGGAAAUAACACCUGCCCCAAAUCUCCACCUGCCACGGCCACCUCUCUGAACCCCCAGCUGCCAGGGGCUGACAGUAAGUCACAGAAGCAUAUUGAUUUCUCAAGGGAAAGAUGAGCAAAGUGAAUACAGAACUCCUCCGUGCACAGGAUGAGAAACCUUGUCCAGGAAGGAAAAUGAGAGGCCACGUAUUCCAGAGGGCAGGCCUACGAAAUGGGGGAGCCCUGCCUGAACCUGCAUCACCACUGAAUGAACAGAAUGACCAACACCGCGGUUUGCCUUGGGACGCUGGAGUUCCGGGUCUCAGGACUGUCAGCAAGAUCCUGACAUGGUGAUGACUAAGAAUGAAACAAUAAGAAGUUGAAUUACAUUGUACACAAGACUCGAAUGUCACGGAGAAUACCUGAUUUCACAUUUUCAUCAUCACAAAAGGCUGGUUUCCCCAGCGUCUGAUCUUACGUGUGGUAUAUAUUAACAUUCUGAAUGUCUUAAAUUUAAGAGGUGAAAAAAAUACUAAUAUUAUCUACUUUUUAAAAAUUUUUUUAAUGUUUAUUGAUUUUUGAGAGAGACAGAGACAGGAUGCG